GAGUGCCUCCGCCAAAUCGUCGGCCUGAAUGACGCUCAGAGGACCUCGCUCAACUUUACGUCCAUCAACGAGUACGAGCAACGAGCGCUGCGCCUGAUCGGAACCUACCUACGUGACAUCAAGACCAACCAUUGCUCGCCGCUCACCGAGAUGCAGUUCGAUUCCAUCAUGACCAUUAUCCUAAACAUGGCGCACCCGGCUGCCUAAGGGCACGUUGUAAGUGACCCUGUCACUUACCAACACCAAGCCAUCAGGCACGCUUGGGAAGUACGCUUGUAUGUGGACCUCCCGCCCGAAGACCGGACGUCGGAACGCCCAGCCGGGGGCGUUUCGAUCGUGUAAUAGACAAUCGAAGCUGUGCAACUAUUUUGUUCUUGUUCCUUUUGUAGUCCGUGCUAAUAGGGCGUUUCACAUUCUAAGUAGCAACUUCUGUGUAUUUAUUUAAGAGCACUAUUAAUGUAAACUGUGCACUUGUUGGUUUAUGACUGGAUUUAGAAAUCAAUUUGUCUUUGGAUUGCCACUAAGGGUAUCUUCUAUACGAAAUGUAAAAGUGUCAGAUUUUUGUUGGUGUUGGUGGUGUCAGUAAGUAGAAUUUGAAAGCUAAGGCUUGGCGAAUGUACUCCCAUUUUCAUGUAUAUGUUACGGUUAAUGUGAUAAAUUGAAAAUUAUGAAUAAUAAUCUGUUAUUAUGAAUAAUAACCUGUUAUUAUGAAUAAUUACCGACAGUCGCGGUAAAAGUGAUAAAUUAAUAACAUUUAACAGUGAUUAUUUAAUCAUUCAACCUUAGUACUAACAAAUAUCAUAAAAGAGAACAACAUCUUGUGUACGUGCUCUUGUACAGCCAAAACUUUUGAACGUUUUGAUAUCAUAUAUUAAUAUAAUUUGGCAUAAUGAGUUUGGAAUGUUUCUUGCAUAAUAUUACUUUUCCAUGAUGCCCGUAACAUAAUGUUUUGAUAUAAAGUGAAAAAUAGGUUAAGGUGCGGCGGGGGUGGGGGGAACCCCUAAGCCGCCUAUUUAGUUUUAUACACACAUAAAUGAUCUCAUAUUCAUCACAUUUACCUAAUCAUGCGGUAAUUAUUCAUAAUAACCGGCGAUUACACAUAAUUUUCACAUUUAUCACUUUGACCGUAACAUAUACGCAUCUCUCUCUCAUGCAAACAUUCCAGAAAUUUUGCGUAAUCAAGCCAAACGACAAUUUGUGUUUAUGAUCGUAUUUGAAUCGCAUAGUUCAGUUGACACAAAAUAUUAUCAAACUACAGAACUAAGAAUGUGCGCAGUUUUGUAUGGGGUAGUGUUUCAUGGGAAAAUAUGUUCAAUUUGGUCAAUAUCAAUUAAAAUUGCUCCAGUAAUUAAAAUGUAGUGCAUAUCGUAUAGCAGUGUAUGUACCUAAGUUCCUUUUUGAAAAAAGGUCAACCUGUAGUGACCUCAUGUCAGUGUACUAGGAUAUAAUUUCUGGAAGUGAUACAUUUUUUGUCAUUUUAAACAUGUAAUUCACAGUAGCUAUGAUGAGUUUCUAUAGAUAAAAAGUGUAUUAUGAACUUUACAGGAAAAUGUUAAGACCAGAUUUUGUGGGAUGUUACUCCCAUAAUAUUUAGGUAGGUUUUGUAUGAAUAGCAUUUGUACAAAAUCGGUCUUUAUUUUAUAAAAUUUUUACUUAACGCACUGUCUGGUUUCAAUCGACAAGUUUUAAAAUUUACUAUUUUAAGAGUAGAGACAAAAUGUUUUCUUGAAAAUGUUUUACUAAGCGAGGUCCAAAUUGAAUCGCAAUCUUAUAGGGCAUUGGUGCAAGAGUGUGAGGCGUACCUGGUUUUUUAAAAAGACUAGGCAAUUGACUGCACGCGAAUGUAUCAUGUUCAAAUGUCCUGAAGAGCAUGAGUUCAAUAUUUAUUUUAUAUUUAAUUAUUUAAUAAAUUGACAUGACAUGAAAUGUCAAGUGAACUUAAAAUUUUGCGGUCAUGUUUCGGCCUCGUGUGUAUUUCGGUCUGACGUAAAACAUUGUCGUCACGUGAUCAUUGUCCACCAGAGUAUUUUCUAUAAAUAAAUUCUAGAAGGAUAGUCCAUUGCGGUCCAUAUUUUGCGGAUCCUUCAAACGGGUAAUUUAGAUAUUUAUCAGGUGGUGAAUUAAAAGAUUGAAAGUGUGAUUCUACGUUAGGGAAAAUAUUUAUCGUAAGAAACGGGUUUGGGAUUAACGAACAAAAAUCGAAUUGUAUUAGGCAUUAUUUAAACCUUGACUAAAAUAACAUCUCAAGGUGUGACUAUGAAAUUAUAUGUCCAUGUACGUCUGUACUAUUUAAAUGAUAUAAAUGUAUUUAUAAAAGUAUUGCAUAGUCUUGAGAGAGACAUUGUUGGACACUUUUUUUUUUUGAGUAGAGGGGAUAAAAUUAAUACAUGUGUAAUGAAAUCGAUGUUAGGUGAUAAUGACUUUAUAUUAAUCUGAAUGUCACUUUAUUAUAGUAAUCUUAAUACAUUACACAGGCCUUGUUUAUGGAAACAGGGCGGAGCCAAAGAAGGUGGAAUUAAUAUGGUCUGGAAGCAUUACGUAUACAGGUCCAUAAACGGGGUCUAUACAUGUUAGCUGUUAAUAUCGAUAGAGGGCCUGUACAGAGUUGCACUUGGCGUCUUGAUUGUAUGUACAUGAUCGAGAACUCGCUUGGUAUUUAGGUUGGAAAUGCGCUUUUCGAACGUGGAGAAUUGUCCCAGGCCCUCAAGUAACCACAUAAUCAUAAUAAUCUUAUUUAAAUAUUUGAUAAGUGUAGACAAUACUUAUGGAAUCAAAUCGAUCUUACCGGACCCUUCUUCUAUUUAAACUGAGCUCAAUCUAUCCUGAAUAGAAUUAUUUUUGUCCACGGUCUCCUCUAGUCAAGUUUCUUCCAUCUAAGGCCAAAAGACUAUUUAUUUUUGUAAUUUCCCUAAAAUUUUAAUAAGUAAGUAACUUAUAUUAUUGGUGUUAGAUCUAAGAUCCGAAAGUUUUUAAAACCAAAUGCAUUUAAUUCUACAAAUCGAUUUGUUUUACUCUGACGCUUUAUGAUAUGUAUGAAGGCGUCGAUUAAAUACUUUUCAGUAUGGAUAAUUUUAUUAUUGUAUUAUAUACAUAAUUACAUACAUUUAUUAAUAUCAAUAUGCACAUUAUUGUAUUUCACAAAAUUACUGAAGUUUUGUUUUUUGUCACAACUUUAUUAUUCAAUUUAUUAUCAUAUUAUAGUAUAAUAUUUAUGUAUUAGAAAUAAGAUGGAACUUAAAUAAAUUAUAUUAAAGAUC